rnacentral:rRNA from 1 species
CCUACGGGUGGCAGCAGUGAGGAAUAUUGGUCAAUGGGCGGGAGCCUGAACCAGCCAAGUCGCGUGAGGGAAGACGGUCCUACGGAUUGUAAACCUCUUUUGCCGGGGAGCAACGGGGUCCUUGCGAGGGCCCGACGAGAGUACCCGGAGAAAAAGCAUCGGCUAACUUCGUGCCAGCAGCCGCGGUAAUACGGAGGAUGCGAGCGUUAUCCGGAUUUAUUGGGUUUAAAGGGUGCGUAGGCGGGCUGUUAAGUCAGCGGUCAAAUGUCGGGGCUCAACCCCGUCCUGCAGUUGAAACUGGCGGCCUAGAGUGGGCGAGAAGUAUGCGGAAUGCGUGGUGUAGCGGUGAAAUGCAUAGAUAUCACGCAGAACACCGAUUGCGAAGGCGGCAUACCGGCGCCCGACUGACGCUGAGGCACGAAAGCGUGGGGAGCGAACAGGAUUAGAUACCCGGGUAGUC